UGUUUAGGCUGGGGAGACAUGAGCUGGAGGUGGCCAGAAUCACCCAGCUGAGAGACACAAACAGCAGAUACUUUUCAGGAACAGUGGACAAUACAAGGGAUGGUAUCCAAGGCUUGCAGUUUGGGAGAGCCAGGCUGGAUUUUAGGCAAGACGUGCAGGAGGAGACCUGCAGAGGGGACUUUCAGCCAAUAUUUCCAUGACUUGAUGAGCAUCAGUUCCAAAACUGAACACUUGCAUUUUGCAGAACCUCCCAAAAAAGUGGUGCAACCUUUCUGAGACAAAAUCUAUAGAGAGACAAUGUAGCUGGGAGCACCUCUUUCUUGUUAUCCCCUGAUUUGUACUGACACCAUCACAGGUUUCCAGUGACAGAGAGCGUUUGUUAUUUAUUCACCUCACUGAAAGGCCCAUUCUCAGUGUCACUGGGAUGACUCUGUUCUUUGUGCUGUAACAGAAGUGAUGCAGUCACACCAUGUUCCAAUAAAGAGGCCCUGACCUCCAGCAGUAGCUCCAUGUGAAAGAAAUGAGCACCUGCUAGGAAGCUGGGUGCCUGUCAUCCCAGCCUCCCUGCUCUCCUGUGCUAGUGCAGAAACUUUAAUGGAGGAGCCACAGGCUACCACUUGCAGAUGCAGUCCUGCUGUUUGAGGACCAAUCCAUCAGACAGCAGUGGAACAUCACCUCUUAUAUUCUGGACAGGCAGGCUCUUCAAAAUGUUUUCCAAGAAAA